UUUUCUUUUCAAACAAAUUAAGGGGUACUAGUACUACUUUAUUACUUUCGCAUCUCGAAAACACAAAAACGUGAUCCGGGUGACCUCUCAAAAUGAACUUACCGGCGGCGGGAACUGGCCGGAAGUUCCGCCGGAGCUAACAGCUUCAGUUAUGCAGGGGAUCAUGUCAGCUGACACGUCUACGGCUUUUAUCUUGCCAUCGCAUUACGGAAGAAGGGCUUAGCGAAUUGGUUAAAAAACUUCCUUUGUUGGAGGAACUCCACCUUUGCUAUAUUCCUGUCUCAAAACAAGCUAUUGAAGUCAUAGGGCGUUGUUGCCCUCUGCUAAAGUCAUUUAGCUUAAACAGACUAAAAUUUACUUUUCCGACUGGUGCAUUCAAUGAGGAAGCUCUGGCUAUUGCAGAAAACAUGCCUGGACUACGCCAGGUGCAGCUUAUUGGAAAUCAGAUGACAAGUUUAGGCUUGCUCGCAAUUCUUGAGAACUGUGUUCAUCUUGAAUCUCUUGAUAUGCGGCAGUGUUUUAAUGUUGGUGACCUUGAGUAUAAUUUAGAAAGGCAGCUAUCUCAGAAGAUAAAGAAUAUCCGGUUCCCCUAUGAUUCUACCGAGGACUAUGAAUUUGGUGCAGAAAUUUGUGAUUCUUCCGAGGAUGAUCCUUUUGGAUUAUCUUAUUUUGGAUGCAGCGACAUAGAUUCUGACAAUUAAGUGUAUGUUGAUGAUAUUGAUGGGGUGAACGUUGUUGCAUUCUGUUUGAAGCUGGAACACAUCGACAUAUUCUAUUUAGAGAUAAAGCUGAACGGAGUUGACAAUCCACUGCAGCCCGGGGAAUUAUCUGAUAUUCAAAUUGCAUGUUGUUUAUGUAUUUUUUUAGUAUGUGGAUGAUGAAAACAUGUUGUGUUGCUUUUUCAAACUUACUGUUGUAGUUGUAAAAGUUAUAAUUGGAUCGAGGACUAUGUUGGUUGACCUGCUCUAUUGUCGUAAAAAUUUCUUUCCUUGCA